AGCCUAGCGGCAGAGUGGGCGGUCUGGCUUUCGGGCCGGCGGCGGACUGCGUGGCUGUGUGGCAGUGCGCUGGCGCUGCAGGGAGGGAUGCUGUGCCCCUGGGAGAGCCCGUCGCGGGAGCGCAAGGAGCUGGACAGACUCUGGAGCUUCCACGCUGACUUCUCGGACGACCGGCGCCAGGGCUUCCAGGAGCAGUGGUAGCGGCUGCUGCUGCGCUGAGUUCCUGUUCUGGGCUUCAUUCUGCAUGACCCAUCUCAGCAGGAGGGCCAGGGACCUCAUCCUCUAUGGCACCAAGGAAUUCAGCUUCCUGCAGCUCUCAGAUGCCUACAGGUUAUCACCUAACAGCAAUAAACCUCACAUGCACAGCUUUGGGAUGUUGGAUAAACCUGUGCCCAGGCAGACGUGGGGAACCCAACUCCAUGCAGACAGCAGCCCUGCCUGGAAUCGAUUUUCUUUAUCAAGUUAGAAAUGACAUUGAAGAAAAUAAUUUUAUUUGGGCACCUGAUAUAUUUCAUGAAAGCUAGCAUCUGUUUUAUUUUUCAGCUGCAAAUUAUUAUUUUUAAAGUCCUGUUUCAAACACAUAAACAGUUGCAAAGAGUAACAACAUUGUUUGCUUCUUCAUUUUAAACAAAUUAUUUCUCAGUGCUAGCAAGCUAAAAUUGUCCUGGAAACCUAAAAAAAAAAGAAGAACAAAAUUUCUUCAGUUGUAAAUGA